rnacentral:rRNA from 1 species
CGAAAGCCUGACGGAGCAACGCCGCGUGUGUGAAGAAGGCCUUCGGGUCGUAAAGCACUGUCAGGAGGGAAGAAAACCGGCAAGUCCGGCGUGACGGUACCUCCUAAGGAAGCACCGGCCAACUCCGUGCCAGCAGCCGCGGUAAUACGGAGGAGGCAAGCGUUAUUCGGAAUUAUUGGGCGUAAAGCGUCCGCAGGGGGCGCAUCAAGUCUGCUGUUAAAGGCUGGAGCUUAACUCCGGUAGAGCAGUGGAAACUGGUGCGCUAGAGGGCGACAGGGGUAGAGGGAAUUCCCAGUGUAGCGGUGAAAUGCGUAGAGAUUGGGAAGAACACCGGUGGCGAAAGCGCUCUACUGGGUCGCACCUGACCCUCAGGGACGAAAGCUAAGGGAGCG